CAAACACAAACUUUCUCCGCAUUCACGAAAUUAAAGACUCGCGAAAUGUGCUGAAAAGAGUAUUGUAAAAUUUAAGAUGCUGUACGCGCGCAUUAAAAGAUGCGCCUGCCCCUGUUCCAGCCAUGGUCCACCCCAUAAUCAUGUCAGCGGCAGGCUCAUCCUUCCAUGCGCGGACACACAAACGGAUGUUAUCCGGGGUUAUUAUCCAAGGCAGGUCUUGUUUUUCUAAUGGGGACCAUGACGUGAACCAACGAAAUUUGCGUCAUUGGUGAGAUUAUCUAGUAUUCCCAAUUGUUUUUACACCAACAGGAUACGAAAUAACUUUACGCUUAUUCGAAAUCACUGUUAUUCCUUGACGACGGGACUUCGUAACCAUACCAAUUAAAACUCAAUGAGCAACGAUCCGUUUCAUGGCUGCAAGAGUGGAAGUCUGCUAAUUGCUCUUUUAUUUCUUGUUACCUGUCACUUCAUAUUAUUACUUGGUUUAUAUCUCAGCACAAAUAAAUUAAACUUCAAGGGUGGUAGAUACGGUUGCCCGAGCUUUUAAAGUAAAAAAUGUAAAUUACAGUUUUUGCGUCCUCUUUUAUUCAAUUAGUAAUUUGAAGGCGGUGAAUUGGUCAAUUUAUGCCGAGUUGUUUCUAUUGUUCUCUUUUCUUACGUAAAGUAAAUAAUGGCUGUUUUUGUUAGAAAAUGACUUAAUGAGAAUAACAUUUGUAAAUCACUGCAAAGCGCUAACAGCGCACAGUGUUUCAACAGGUUGCGAAAGCGGACACUAUUUCAUGAAAUGAAGGAAUAAGAAAGUCAUGGCUCGAGAAAACACUGAUUCCUUGCUUUUUCUGGUAAGAAAAGGCCAUGAUUAUAUCGAUUGUAAGGAUGGUUUACGCACUCUCCACGACAAUGGCCACAAACAAGUUAUCAAAAAGUUUGAGGAGCCUGAUGAAUCCGCUUUUUUCAAAGAGACUAGAAGCAAGGAUCGCAAAAGAGGAAGACAGUUGUUGAGCUUAGCACUUGAACACCAGCCAAAUUCAAGAGAUGUCAGGAGAUUGACUCCAGCGGCAUGGAGUAGAAGAGAUAGGUCUAUUGAUACUCCGUGCAGUGAAGAACCUCGGCAGAAUGCAAGCGUGAAACCGGUGCUACAUAUGAGCGUCGCGAGUGGUUACUUUGUUCAAAGGAAUGUUGACUCUGUGAAAAAGUGCUCCAAGGGUGACAAAUCUGACACCGAAGAAACAAAUAGUUUACCAAGAAUUGUCAAGCAUACUAAAGGAGUUUUUUUUUCUAGAAGAGCUAAGGACAGGGUUAAAAAAGAAUCGAGGAAUUGUUCAUCGAUAGAAGAACGCAAGGCGAUAGAGAAUUCAACAGUUGAUUUAUGCCCAGAAAUCAGUCGCGGGCCUUGCUCGACUCGCCCUGACUUUAGAAUAGAAAGAUUCUUGGACCUGACGAUCAAACCGGAAUCUUCAAGGUCUAUGGUUCUUUUAGAAAAAUAUACGCAAUUUAAGGGAUUUGACCCCCGAGAAGAGCAAAUAGUAUCUUGGACAUCAAAACAAAACAGACUGUCUGCUUCACCCUUUAAUCUACAAAGCUCAAUUAAUAAUGGAUUAAAUUCUAAGGACAGCGGCGAUUCAGCGGAUUAUCUUAAGUGCGAUUUGGAGAACAUUGACGCAAAGUCGGACUCGUAUUUACUAAGACGUAGAAAUCAGCCGGUGAAAAAACAUGACGUGACUAAACGUUCAAUGUCAUGUGUUACACUGAAGGAACAGCCCACACGUAUUGACGUGUUUAUACCAAGCCAGUUCAGUUGAUCAUCGUUCGUUUUUGAGUCACUAUACAGGUCAUAGGGUCUAUAAGCUCUCAGAUUUUUUUUACCCUGGCUUUUAGUCGGGCUAAUCGCCUCAUGUAAAACAAAAAGGAUAAAAAGAAAAAAAUGCUUUGUCAUGUACGUCAAUGCAGAUGCAAUCGUUGUGCUGAUUCUGUCUCAACACAAUUCGUGUAGCUCCGAAAGGCAUUAAGGACGUGGACUCUAUUCUGUCGUAUUUUCUUUGAUUUUUAGAAUUUGUCAUAAGUGAUAUCAUUAUUUGGUGAGGGAAUUUUCACUAAAGUUGCAAUUUUGAAAAAUGAUGUCUAACGUUUCGAACUCGUUAAAAAAAAAAAAGUUUUUUCGGCCGCGUCGAAAUUAGAAAAUUGGUAAUAAUAACGGCCAUCACUACAUACGUAUCUUUUAUUUACCUCAUCCCUAGGCUUCUCGGCACGCCUUUAUUUCACGCUCUACAUGGCUAUGCGUCCGCUAUACUGGAAAGUGUGAGUCUGCGCGCAAAGCAUCAUUCAUCAAUUUCUUUUUAGCACUUGUUAAAUCUUUGCUCUAGUUUUUUUUUUCGUUUCUUUAUGAUCUAAUUGAGACAAUCUGUCCGUAAAAUGAAGAAGUUUAUGUAAUAUGGAGCGAAGCAAAACGAAGAUUACGCCACUUCAGCGACAUAGCAGUAUAAUAAUGACCUCCUUUUCGCUGAUAAAAGCAAAGGUCCGCACGCCAAAGACAGCGUUCCAUUUUACAUGAGACAGAGCACGUUGUGCAAUCCAUACACCGGAAAUAGACGCGAAACACGAAGGAACGUGAAAUAUAAAGGAAGUCUGUUUUUGUCACCAUGGUAGCUUGAAUAUAAAAAAAAAAUUGAUAACCUCUUAAAUUAUUAUUCAUCCCAAUAUUUCGUAAACAACAGUUUUUAUUUCCCCAAAUUAUCAUCAAUACAGCAAUAAGUGUUAUCUUCAUUGUUUUAUUAAAAAAAUUAGCUUACAUUCUUCAACAAAUAUUAUAUUAGGUACUUUAUCCAAAAACAGCCCAGACUGAGUGGGCCGUCAAAUAUUCCUGAAUGGUGUUCAAUGCGUCAAUGCCGCGUCUGUUUGACCCGUGAUGCCUUUGAAAGGAAUAUCUAUCCGUUAAGGGACGUAUCUAUAGUUUGUCAUUUGCGGCGAAGAAAUGGAUUCACGCUUUCUUUUCACCUGUGAGGUUAUUUCGCUGCUUUUAUUGUUUUCGCAAAGUCAGCAUGGCGUCCAGGCCUGGCGUAGAAGAAGAAGGGGUACCCAAGGCCCGCCCGGUAAGCAAGGACCACCUGGGACACCCGGCAACCUAGGGCCACAGGGACCUCCUGGACCACGUGGGCGACCGGGCGCGCCAGGGUAUCCGGGGUCUAAAGGAGCACCAGGAAGCCCUGCUCCUCUUCAAACGCUCAACUGCCAUGUCUUGAGAUCUCGCACGUUUGGGGAAGUCACGUGUCCACUUAAUUUUCUGCGCAUGUCAUGCUACUGCGUGCUAAGGAAAACGGGAAAAUCGUGCACUGUGCGAGUGAUUGGUUUACAACGCUGCGCAUGUGGAUGUAAGCGUGCUACCGCGUCCGCUAUGUGCUGCAGGCUCAAAGGAUAAAAAAAUACUUUUAUGGCAAUGAUUAAUUUCAAUUUGCAUGAUUUAGCAAUGUAUUUGGAAAAAUAAAGCAAGGUCUUGCUUCUGUUAAA